GACGAACGCUGGCGGCGUGCUUAACACAUGCAAGUCGAACGGAAAGGCUCCAGCUUGCUGGAGUACUCGAGUGGCGAACGGGUGAGUAACACGUGGGUAAUCUGCCCUGCACUCUGGGAUAAGCCUGGGAAACUGGGUCUAAUACUGGAUAUGACCUUUCUCCUUAUGGGGUUUGGUGGAAAGUUUUUCGGUGUAGGAUGAGCCCGCGGCCUAUCAGCUUGUUGGUGGGGUGAUGGCCUACCAAGGCGACGACGGGUAGCCGGCCUGAGAGGGUGAUCGGCCACAUUGGGACUGAGAUACGGCCCAGACUCCUACGGGAGGCAGCAGUGGGGAAUAUUGCACAAUGGGCGGAAGCCUGAUGCAGCGACGCCGCGUGAGGGAUGACGGCCUUCGGGUUGUAAACCUCUUUCAGCAGGGACGAAGCGUAAGUGACGGUACCUGCAGAAGAAGCAACGGCUAACUAUGUG
rnacentral:rRNA from 1 species